rnacentral:misc_RNA from 1 species
GAGAAAUGUCACCAACUACCAUUACACAAAACAGAAUACUGGUUCACACAAAUACAAGACAAAACAUAGGGAUCAGGGCCCCGGUAAACUGUAACCCAGCAAAGUUCUUACCACCUUCAAUAACAAGUCUUGUGACAAAACAAGAGCAUCACUCAAUUUCAACAGUCAAAAAAUUCCCUCCUGAGCUAGAAAAAAAAUAAACAUUCAGCUUCAACUCUCAUACUUAACUUUUGGUGGUCUUCUCUUUAGUCUUCUGAAUCUUCAAGACUUUCUUCACAAUCUUCUGCUCCUCAAGAAGAAAGGCACGAAUAAUCCUUUCCCUCACAGCACUGCCAGAGAGCACCCCUCCAUAAGCACGAUUCACAGUCCUCCGAUUCCUAGCCAACCUAGACCUCUUGUACUGAGUAGGCCUCAGGUGAGGAAUCCCCUGAAUC